UCUUCCCCAGACUCAACUCUCGGGCCCCGGACUCUCGGCCUAGCGCCCUGAGAGCCCGGCGCCCGGGUGCCCCGCACCCCUACUGCCUAUGGGUAAGACGGCCCUGGUGACACCUUGUGAGUGGAACCUCCAUCUAAAUCUGCAUUGGCUUUCAUGCACAUUAACAUUUCCAUUUGAAUUCUCAUCUGUACUGACGUUGCAAAAAUGGCAAAAGCAAAAAAAUAAAAUAAAAAAGGGCUCAAAUGUGUUUCAUCUAGCCCAAUUCAGCGUAUUUUUAUGUGGUGAACCACCCUGUAAUCUUCAGAUAAAGGACAGUAUGCAAAUAUGAUAAUUUUAAAAAAUGAUUUGGGUGGAGCUUCCUUCUUUGCAAAAACAACAGCCUUUUGCGCACAAACUUUCAUUGGCAGCAGUCUCUGAAAGCAGGAGACUAAAGAUGUAGUUGGCAUAUAAAACACAUGUAUAAAUAUGGUAGGGGCUGCUGCCCCUACUUGGGUUGCUCACCAACCCUGUCAAAGUGAAGGUCCUGCAUUAAUGCCUGGAAGUGGUAUUGAACUGGAUGUGGAUCAAGAAAUGGAAGUUGAAUCCAACCAAGAUAGAAGCUCUGUGCUUUGGGGGUUACCAUGUCUGGGAUUUGGUCAGACAACAUGUUCUGGAUGGUAUUGCACUUACUGAAGAGCAAGGGUGUGGUUUGGGAGUUCAGUCUAGAGCUAUCAUUGUCACUUGAAGCUAAGGCGACCUCAGCAGCUGCUUAGGUUGGUCCAUCAGCUACAGCUUUUUUUGGGCAGGAAUAGCCUGACUACAGUUAUCCACACCCUGAUAACCUCCAGAAUGGACUUUUAUAAUACACUUUAUAUGGGUCUUCCAACUCUUGAAGGCUCUCCAGAAUUUGCAACUAACGCAGAAUGCGAUGGUGAGAAUAUUGAUAUGAGUAGCGGGGUUGUUGUGUAUAUAACACCCAUUCUCAGACAGAAGCAACUGGUUGCCAGCUAUCUUCUGGGCCUAACUGAAGGACUUAAGUUGAUAUCUAAAGCCCUGAACGGACUGGACCCCAAAUAUCUGAGAAAACGCUUUCUCCUAUAUCCAUCCACCUGCCCACAUACUAAAAUCAGUGGAAGAGACUUUCCUAGUGAUUCUUGUAUUAAAGGACCUGUUGAGUGCAGCGACCUGUGGAAGGUCUUUUUCAGUGGUGGCUUCGCAUCUUUGGAAUUACCUUCCCACAACUCUGUUCUUUCAUAUGCCUGUUGAAAACCCACCUUUUCCACCAGGUUUUUAGUGGCUAAUAGGUUAAGCCAUUUUAAUGGUGUUUUUAAGUUAUGCUGUUUAUGUAACUUGUGAGAAUGAUGUUAAUGCUUUUGUUUAUUUUGUAGUUGUUUUUUUCUUGUUUGUAAAUAUAGUGAAGGGCAGUAUGUAAAUAUCUUAAAAAGGAAACUAAUAAAUGAUGGUUGCACAUGCAGGUACAUUGCAGUAAUUUCACACAUGACGUGUGCCUGCAAAAAACCUGAUGUGGUUGCUUGUAAUUCUUCAAUAAUAUGCAAGAUUAGCAAAUAUAAAUGAGAUUGCUUCUCUUUUCUCAUAACUGUUUUUUAAUUUUCAGAUAUAUGUAAGUGAAGGCAAGGAGACAAGACAUUAAAUUCCAAAUAUUUGAGCUGUCAAAACAUAACCACAACAUCAGUAUGCAAGAUGGUGUGUUUAUUUUGUUUUCUGUUUUGUUUGUUUUGCUGUUGUGAUUUGGUUCAACCCAUCCUGUGCACUCAGUUACAGACGGAAGAAAUUUUAGGACUGGACCAUAAAAUAUGAUCUGUUUGGCCAGAGGAAGCAGAGAAUGGAAGUUGAGAUGUUUCCAUAUUUUAUUUAAGGAUAACUAAUUCAGUUUGUUGCUCUUUGUGAUAAUGACUUCUAAUUCUACAGUCACUCUUUCUCUUUGAAGUCCCUUUGUUUGAUGAAUAAAUCUGCA
rnacentral:lncRNA from 1 species